rnacentral:lncRNA from 1 species
UAAAACAAGCGCUUAUUGGGAGGCAACCCAAGUUUAAUUUUUAUUUUUAGUUUUUAUUAAGUUUUAUAUUAGUAGUUUUGAAUUUGCAUUUAUUUAGGAUUUAAUAAAAUUGCUUCUAUCAUGGUUUUACAGGUUAUUCAAGUCAAAUUCAAGUGUGGUGCCCAAUUUGUUCCAUGUGCUUAGCCUAUUCUCCAAACUUAGCGGGCAAGGAGGAAGAUUGCUAUAUUUUCAGGGAAGUCCUCUGCUUUAAUUUUUUCUAUUGUAGCCAUUGAGGACAAUGUCUAGUUUAAGUUUGGGGGCAUUUUAGUGUCGUAUUGCAUAUAGUUAGUUAUUUACAUUGUAGUUCGUUAUGUUUUUGGGUUAUUUACAUUUAGUUUUUGCAUUCAGUUUUUUUGUUAAAAA